GCCUGGUGGUUCCUACAGUCGGCUCCAAAGUGCUAAACGGUGUAUUUUUGGCAACAGGCGCAUAUUGAUUCUGCAAAGUAAUGCAUGGUAGCUGCCACUGUAGCAGCCUUCCAUAGCCCGGUUACAGAUGGGUUG
ensembl:snoRNA